rnacentral:rRNA from 1 species
UACGGCUCAGUAACACGUAGCUAACCUACCCUCUGGAUGGAGACACCCCCGGGAAACUGGGGCUAAUCCCCAAUAGAUAUGGAGGCCUGGAAUGGUUCCAUAUUCAAAUGCAUAAUAACCAUGUUUGUUAUGUGCCAAAGGAUGGGGCUGCGGCUGAUCAGGCAGUUGGUGAGGUAACGGCUCACCAAACCUUUGACCAGUACGGGCCGUGAAAGCGGUAGCCCGGAGAUGGGUACUGAGACAAGGACCCAGGCCCUACGGGGCGCAGCAGGCGCGAAAACUCCACAAUGUACGAAAGUACGAUGGGGUUACCUUGAGUGCAGUCUGAAAAAGGUUGCUUUUCCAUAGAGUAAUAUCCUGUGGGAAUAAGGGGGGGGCAAGACUGGUGUCAGCCGCCGCGGUAACACCAGCCCCCCGAGUGGUGGGGACUUUUAUUUGGCCUAAAGCGUCCGUAGCUGGCUGUUUCCGUCCCCCGUUAAAUCCAGCGUCCCAAGCGUUGGACUGCGGGUGAUACCAAACAGCUAGAGGGUGGGAGAGGUCAGCGGUAUUUCUGGGGUAGGGGCGAAAUCCUUUGAUCCCAGGAGGACCACCAGUGGCGAAGGCUGCUGACUAGAACACGCCUGACGGUCAGGGACGAAAGCUGGGGCAGCGAACCGGAUUAGAUACCCGGGUAGUCCCAGCUGUAAACGAUGCUCGCUAGGUGUUGGGUCGGCCAUGCGCCGCCCCAGUGCCGCAGGGAAGCCGUUAAGCGAGCCGCCUGGGGAGUACGGCCGCAAGGCUGAAACUUAAAGGAAUUGGCGGGGGAGCACCACCAGGCGUGAAGCUUGCGGUUUAAUUGGAGUCAACGCCGGAA